rnacentral:rRNA from 1 species
GACGAACGCUGGCGGCGUGCCUAAUACAUGCAAGUAGAACGCAGUUGCGAACGGGUGAGUAACGCGUAGGUAACUGCCUCAUAGCGUGGGUUAACUCUUGGAAACGUUAUCUAAUACCGCAUACUGUUAUAUGGACCUGCGUUGUAUUAGCUAGUUGGUGAGGUAAAGGCUCACCAAGGCGACGAUACAUAGCCGACCUGAGAGGGUGAUCGGGCCAACUGGGAAUGAGAAAAGGGCCAGAAUCCGACGGGAGGAAGCAGGAGGGAAUCUUUGGAAAUGGACGGAAGUCUGAACGAGCAACGCCGGGGGAGUGAAGAAGGUUUUCGGAGCGUAAAGCGCUGUUGUGAGAGAAGCGGUAACUAAACAGAAAGGGACGGCUAACUACGUGCCAGCAGCCGCGGUAAUAC